rnacentral:tRNA from 1 species
GAAGUAGCUCAAUGGUAGAGCAACCGGCUGUUAACCGGUAGGUCGUGGGUUCGAGCCCCACCUUC